UACGUGGGGUGCAAGCGUUAUCCGGAAUCAUUGGGCGUAAAGAGUUCGUAGGCGUCUUUUUAAGUUUCGUUUGAAAUCCCGAGGCUCAACCUCGGAACUGGACGAAAUACUGGAGAGAUCGAGUCUGUUAGGGGGUACUGGAACUCAUAGUGUAGCAGUGAAAUGCGUUGAUAUUAUGAGGAACACCAAGGGCGAAGGCAGGUACCUGGGACAUGACUGACGCUGAGGAACGAAAGCUAGGGGAGCGAAA
rnacentral:rRNA from 1 species